rnacentral:rRNA from 1 species
UAAUACGUAGGGGGCGAGCGUUGUCCGGAAUCAUUGGGCGUAAAGAGCGUGUAGGCGGACUGGAAGGUCUGGUGUGAAAGCCCGGGGCUCAACCCCGGAGGGUCACCGGAAACCGACAGUCUUGAAUCUGGAAGAGGAGAGUGGAAUUCCUGGUGUAGCGGUGGAAUGCGCAGAUAUCAGGAGGAACACCAAUGGCGAAGGCAGCUCUCUGGUACAUGAUUGACGCUGAGACGCGAAAGCGUGGGGAGCGAACAGGAUUAGAUACCCUGGUAGUCCACGCCGUAAACGAUGGGUGCUAGGUGUGGGAGGUGUCGACUCCUUCCGUGCCGAAGCUAACGCAUUAAGCACCCCGCCUGGGGAGUACGGCCGCAAGGCUA